ACUCGGUGAGUUGUAUCGAACUUUCGCGAUUCUGGACGCGCUGACUUGCCGUACACGGGUUUUAAGUGAUGUACUCGGCGAGUAGGUCACUGGACUCGCCGAGUAGCCUCUGUUUUGUGAAAAUCUAUAUAAAGGGACUUUCAGAUCGAUACCCUAGCAUGGAGAGAAACCCUAGGAGGCUGAGAAACGAUUGGAAGUGCUGCUAGGUCGUGAGGAACUGAAGAAUCAACCCUACAUUCAAUUGUGAAGAGAAUCAAGACAAUUUUGGUUUAUUCUUAGUAACUUUUUGAUUUGAAUCAUGUUUACAUACUUUGAUUUCGUUUUUGAGUUUAUGUUUACUGCAAUCAUGAGCUAAAAACUUAUUCUUCUGUUAGGGUAGACAAUUUUGUGAACAUGGAUUGAUUAUUUGAGUAGGAUUAAUUUUAAUUGGUAAUUAUGUUUUGUUAAGCUUGUUAAAGAACCUUAUGUGUUGACAAUAACUAUUCUUCUGUUAAUAAAUUAGUAAUUAAGUUGUAUGAACAUCUCUUAGUUAUUAAUUUCAUAUGAUUUAUUGUGACCACAUAGUUGUAUGUCUAGGAAUAACGAAUGUGAAACUAGAAUUAACUAGAAGAUAGGUAAGUUAAUGUGUGAGCUUGUUUGAUGAACAUCAGCAAGAGGUUAAUUGAAGGGCCAAUUUAAUUAACCAUUACAAGUCUUAUUUAACCCGAAUUAAUAACUAGGAAAUCCGUUAAUUUAGACAACUAGCCACUGCUUGAGUUAAUUUGUUUCCUAAGGAUUAGUAAUAGCGAACAUGAAACUUAUCAUCUUAGUCAGUAGCCAAUGAAGAAUUAAUCCGAUACAUUGAAAUCAUCCAUGGGAACAAAUGAGUCAAACUAAACAGAAGUCCUCUUUAUUAUUGAAUUUAGUUGAUUUUUAUUUGCUUAGUUCUUAGUUUCUUAGUUUAAAUUUUAGUUAAUUAUUUAAGUUUCUAGUCUUGCAAAACUAGAGAAAACCCCCUUUCUAUUACUUGUUUUAUUUAGAUAAUAUUAGCAUUUAUUUUAAUUGUUUACUGUUCCCUGUGUUCGAUACCCUACUUACCUGAACUAAAAUGCUAAUCGAUAGGUACACUUCCUUCCGUGUGUUUGUCUUUGUGUUUAAGUUAGUAGGAUUAAAACUUGUUGGUUUUACACACAUCAAGUUUUUGGCGCCGUUGCCGGGGAACAGUUCUAAAUAGUUAAUUUUAAUUGCUAAUUGUUAUCAUUUUUUUAUUUGUUGAUUAAUUUUUUUUAUUUAUUGUAGUUUAAUUUUUAUUUUUAAUUUUAGUAUGUAUUUUCCAAAUCUCGAUGCUUUUGAUGCUUUUCUUGAGGAAGUAGUGCAGGAAAUUGAGCAGGAAGAUGAGGAUUAUGACUCAGAUGAUGAUUUGAAGAAAUUUGGAAGAUGGUUAGAUAACAUCUUGUCUAACGAUCAAGAACAAUUUGAGUCACAAAAGCUAAAGUUACAAGAUGAAGAAUUUAAUCCAGAAAAAGAUUUGGAGGAGCUGGAAAGGUUGCUAGCAGAGAGGUCGGAUGAAGAACAAGAACAAGCUGAAUUGCAGGAACCAAGCUGUGGUUUGACCAUUACCAUGACAUGGCCCCAUGUAUUUUCAGUUUGCGUUUCGAAGCGUGGGGUGAUGACUCCAACUUUGGAGAAAGUUCUAAGGCACUAUCCGUUUUUGAUUAGUAUCCAACCGGUUCCAACCCUUAUCAAGAUUCUUGGGUUUUAUGUAUUCAAGCUUGUUUGGCCAAUUUUAGAAGAAAAGAGCCAAAUUUUACAAAUUGAUCCAAAGAAAAUAUUCAAUGCAACGGAUGGAUUGGCAUUGAGUAUAUUGGAAGUUUAUUAAGUUGAGAGUCCAGCUCAAGACUCGCACAAAAAGAAGCGCUUGCGGGAGGCAACCCGUCACUAGAGUUUGCUUUUCUUUUUCUUUUAAACUUCUAGUAUUUAGGGAUAAUAUCGGAAUUUUUAUUUUGAUGUUUGUUUUCCUUUUUAUUACAUGGUUUUGCCUUUGAUCUUUUUAGAAGCUAGGGUGAUAUUUGAGCGAAUUCUUAAAGCGUGAGGGAAUUAAAGUGAGGGGUCGAGUCGUUUACGAGAAGAUUAGAAGAUUUUGAGCGAUAUGUUGAGUCUGAUGUUUAUAUUUGAUUAAAAAGAGUCUCGUCCCUGAAGAAAAUGAGGAGUUGUAUUACCUUGAUACUCUCCUUGAACACAAAAUUAAAGCUGAAGCAGAAAGAAGAAAAGACCUGAUCAGAUUCAAGAACUCGUCGAGUGCAUAAUACUAACUCGACGAGUCCAAGCAAAAAAUCACGAUUUCUGCGAGUAUAGCGAUUCAACUCGGCGAGUCUCCACAUAAAACUCGGCGAGUUACUCAUUAUUUUUAUAUUUGAUUUGACGAUUUGAUUCCAUUCGACGCUGGCAUUGUCUAUAUUUUUGAAGAUCAUUUUCCGAGCGUUUCCAAGAUGUUUUUUCCCACAUAUUUAGAGUUGUCAACCACACGAGAUGUUUAACACCCAAGGCAUGGAUGAGUUGUUCCUAUGUCUAAACUCAGCUGAAGAUGGAUCUUUAAAUAAAGAAGAUCAACCUCGCAACUACUAUCCCAGGGGAGUUUGUUCCAAUUCCCUCUUUACUUUAUUGUUCUUUAUCAUGCAUAAUAUGCAAUGGGGACAUUGCAUAAAUUAAGUGUGGGGUAGGGGGUUGGUUACAUUAGUUAAAAUUUUAGUUAAAUUUUGAAAAAAAUUUGCAUUAAAAUUGCUAGGGCUAAUUUAGGAAAUUUUGGUAAAGCAAUUAGGGAUCAUGCUAGUAUUAUGUUUUAUGAUUCUUUGAGGACCCAAUUGUUUAGUUGAGCCUAUAUACGUUAUAAUGCAUUUGUGGCUUCCUUAUUCUAGUGCAAUCAUGGGACAAAAACACGACCUCGCUUAGUUUGAAGGAUGCAAUAUGUUUAGCAUCGUGUACCAGAAAUGUAUCCAGGAAAAUUUUUAUCUUUAAUCAAUAAAGGUUGAAGUUGAGCGCCCUUGCUUAAGCAUGUAGGUUUUGAGUGAAAAAAAAAGUGAGGUACAUGUAAAAAAAAAAAGAGAAUUACAAGAAAAGUUGUAAGAAUUUUGGAGCAAUCGAAGUGAAGAUCAAAAGAUCAAAAUUCCGAAGAUUCAAAAAGUUGAAGAUACCAAAAAUCAAACAACAAGGUGGUGAAUUCAAAGAAAUUAAAGAUCAAAUGUCAAAGAAGUGAAGAAUUCCAAAGAGCUCCAAUGUGGUAUCAUAAAUUGUAAUUGUCUAGAUUAUGUAUGCUUGGGUUGCUCAACCAAAAAUACCUUGAGGUUAAGAGGUUUUCUGAGGAUGGAUUCGGAGGGAUGCAUAAAAUGAGCAUUGUUCGGAAAAAGUGGGCGAAUGUUUAUGAGGAUUGUGAGUAUUUAGAGUAUGGGGGNAUGUGGUAUCAUAAAUUGUAAUUGUCUAGAUUAUGUAUGCUUGGGUUGCUCAACCAAAAAUACCUUGAGGUUAAGAGGUUUUCUGAGGAUGGAUUCGGAGGGAUGCAUAAAAUGAGCAUUGUUCGGAAAAAGUGGGCGAAUGUUUAUGAGGAUUGUGAGUAUUUGGAGUAUGGGGGGUUAUUAGGAAAAUUUUAGACACAAAUGCAUGCGUUGCGGUCUUGGCAUAAUGGCUGGGUUCGAUUGGGAUUGUCUUAUGUAAUAUUAGUGUACUAAAAUUCAGUUUUGCUUGGGGGCAAGCAAAAGUCAAGUGUGGGGUAUUUUGAUAUGGGCAUAUUUAGUUAUAAAAUUCAUGCAUUAUCUUAAUACUUUAUGUUGUUUUUGUCUCAUAUAAUGAACCAAAGGUGCUUAAUUAGUUUAGAAUUUCAUUUUUCAGAAACAAUGACAUGCUCGGGUGGAAAAUGAAGCGGAACUAGCGAUUGGAAGCUUGGAUCUUGGAUUUUGAAGAAAGAAGGAUGUUGCUGGACAGCUUGACCCCUCGUCAGAGUUUUGGCCAUAUCUGAUGAACCGUAAUUCCGAUUGACGAGAUUCAAAAUUUUCUGAAUAUUAGACACAAUUUCGGACGACUUUCGUGUUUUGAGAAAAUGCUGAUUCGAAACGUACUCGGCGAGUAGAGUCGAUUACUCGGUGAGUUGUAUCGAACUUUCGCGAUUCUGGACGCGCUGACUUGCCGUACACGGGUUUUAAGUGAUGUACUCGGCGAGUAGGUCACUGGACUCGCCGAGUAGCCUCUGUUUUGUGAAAAUCUAUAUAAAGGGACUUUCAGAUCGAUACCCUAGCAUGGAGAGAAACCCUAGGAGGCUGAGAAACGAUUGGAAGUGCUGCUAGGUCGUGAGGAACUGAAGAAUCAACCCUACAUUCAAUUGUGAAGAGAAUCAAGACAAUUUUGGUUUAUU
rnacentral:lncRNA from 1 species